GAUUAACGCUAGCGGCAGGCCUAAUACAUGCAAGUCGAACGGGAUUUCGGGUAGCAAUAUCUGAAUGAGAGUGGCGUACGGGUGCGUAACACGUAUGCAAUCUACCUCUGACUGGGGAAUAGCCUUCCGAAAGGAAGAUUAAUACCGCAUAAAAUAAUGAAGUGGCAUCACUUUAUUAUCAAAACUCUGGUGGUCAGAGAUGAGCAUGCGUCCGAUUAGCUAGUUGGCGGGGUAACGGCCCACCAAGGCGACGAUCGGUAGGGGGUCGUGAGAGGA
rnacentral:rRNA from 1 species